rnacentral:tRNA from 1 species
GGUAGGAUGGCUGAGGUUAUUAGGCGGUAAACUGUAAAUUUACUCAGGAGAAUUUUUCUCUCCUACCA